rnacentral:rRNA from 1 species
CAGCCCCCCGAGUGGUGGGGAUGAUUAUUUGGCCUAAAGCGUCCGUAGCCGGCUUCGUAAAUCUCUCGUUAAAUCCAGCGUCCUAAGCGUUGGGCUGCGAGAGACACUGCAGAGCUAGAGGGUGGGAGAGGUCAGCGGUAUUCCUGGGGUAGGGGCGAAAUCCAUUGAUCCCAGGAGGACCACCAGUGGCGAAGGCUGCUGUCCAGAACACGCCUGACGGUCAGGGACGAAAGCUGGGGUAGCGAAUCGGAUUAGAUACCCGAGUAGUCC